UUUAGCUUGCCCAGGGACCCAUUUUGUUCAACGCCGGGGUACCCUAACCGGGCAAAGGUAGGGUAAUCACUUGUCUUCUAAAUAAAGACUAGUAUGAAAGGCGCCACGAGGAUUAAACUGUCUCCCUUUUCUAAUCAGUGAACCUAAUCUCCCUGUGAAGAAGCAGGGAUUUAAAUAUAAGACGCGAAGACCCUGUGGAGCUUAAAAUAUUAUGAUACCUGCAUUCUUUUUCUUCCCCCCCACCUUCUAUUAUUGCACAAUAUCAUAUAUUUUCGGUUGGGGUGACCACGGGGGAAAAACCAUCCCCCACAAUGAAAGGGCCCCCCCCACAAUAAGCCACAGCUUUAAGUAUCAAUAAAUUGACAUCAUUGACCCAAUAUAUUGAUUAAUGAACCAAGUUACCCCAGGGAUAACAGCGCAAUCCGCUUCAAGAGCUCCUAUCGACAAGCGGGCUUACGACCUCGAUGUUGGAUCAGGGUAUCCUAGUGGUGCAGCCACUACUAAAGGUCGUUGUCAACGUAAACCUAAACCCC
rnacentral:rRNA from 1 species